CCUACGGGGGGCAGCAGUGAGGAAUAUUGGACAAUGGGCGCAAGCCUGAUCCAGCCAUGCCGCGUGCAGGAAGACGGUCCUAUGGAUUGUAAACUGCUUUUGUACAGGAAGAAACACUCCCUCGUGAGGGAGCUUGACGGUACUGUAAGAAUAAGGAUCGGCUAACUCCGUGCCAGCAGCCGCGGUAAUACGGAGGAUCCAAGCGUUAUCCGGAAUCAUUGGGUUUAAAGGGUCCGUAGGCGGUUAAAUAAGUCAGUGGUGAAAUCUGGUCGCUCAACGAUCAAACGGCCAUUGAUACUGUUUAACUUGAAUUAUUUGGAAGUAACUAGAAUAUGUAGUGUAGCGGUGAAAUGCUUAGAUAUUACAUGGAAUACCAAUUGCGAAGGCAGGUUACUACAAAUGGAUUGACGCUGAUGGACGAAAGCGUGGGUAGCGAACAGGAUUAGAUACCCUUGUAGUC
rnacentral:rRNA from 1 species